GUGUCCCCAUGAGUGACAGAACAAUGAGCCAAUCACAGUGCAACUAGAGAAGAUUACCAACCCCUACACUCUGUACAUUCCGCUGGCUGCCCCACCACCACAGAAAGCACUGAGCUAGGCUGAAACACCUGCAUUUUGGAGCUGCCUUACUCAAGAAAGAAAAAAAGAGACCUUGUUUGUAUGCGGAUUUAUUAAAUCAAUAAAUCAUUUUAUUUAAAUUGUUUGCAAACUAAUAUGUCGCACCUAUUAAUGCCAAAAUAACAUGCAAAACAGGCACACAAAAAAAUAUCCCGCCCUGAAUGACGGGUGGCAAACGCAUCACCGUAGCCUCUCCACAUCUCAAGCUCUACUUCCUUAGUCUCUCGCCAUCACUAUCUCUCCAUCUCUAUCUGUCCAUCUCUACCUCUCCAUCUCUCUCUCCAUCUCUAUCGCUAUCUCUAUCUGUCCCUCUGUACCUCUCCAUCUCUAUCUCUCCAACUCUAUCUCUCCAUCUCUAUCUGUCCAUCUCUACCUCUCCAUCUCUAUCUCUCCAUCUCUAUCUUUAUCUUUCCAUCUCUAUCUGUCCAUCUCUACUUGUCUAUCUCUAUCUCUCCAUCUCUAUCUCUCCAUCUCUAUCUCUCCAUCUCUAUCUGUCCGUCUCUACCUCUCCAUCUCUAUAUCUCUAUCUUUAUCUUUCCAUCUCCACUUUAUCUGUCCAUCUCUACUUGUCCAUCUCUAUCUGUCCAUCUCUAUCUGUCCAUCUCUAUCGCUCCAUCUCUAUCUCUCCAUCUCUAUCUCUCCGUCUCUAUCUGUCCGUCUCUACCUCUCAAACUCUAUCUCUCUGUCUAUAUCUGUCCGGCUCUACCUCUCUCUCUCCACCUCUAUCUGUCCAUCUCUACCUCUCCAUCUCUAUCUCUCCAUCUCGAUCUGUCCAUCUCUACCUCUCAUCUCUAUUUCUCCAUCUCUAUCUCUAUCUCUCCAUCUCUAUCUGUCCAUCUCUACCUCUCAUCUCUAUCUCUCCAUCUGUCCAUCUCUAUCUCUAUAUCUGUCCAUCUCUAUCUCUCCAUCUCUAUCUUUAUCUUGACCUCUCCUUUUCUAUCUCUCCAUCUCUAUCUGUCCAUCUCUACCCCUCCAUCUCUAUUUCUCCAUCUCUAUCUCUCCAUCUCUAUCUGUCCGGCUCUAUCUCUAUCUCUCAUUCUCUAUCUCUCCAUCUCUACCUCUCCUCCUCUAUCUCUCCAUCUAUAUCUCUAUAUGUCCAUCUCUACCUCUCGAUCUCUAUCUUUAUAUCUCCAUCUCUAUCUCCACCUCUAUCUCUCCACCUCUAUCUGUCCAUCUCUACCUCUCCAUCUCUAUCUUUCCAUCUCUAUCUCUCCACCUCUAUCUGUCCAUCUCUACCUGUCCAUCUCUCCAUCUCUAUCUCUAUCUCUCCAUCUCCAUCUCUCCACCUAUAUCUGUCCAUCUCUACCUCUCUAUCUCCCCAUCUCUAUCUGUCCAUCUCUACCUCUCCAUCUGUCCAUCUCUAUCUCUAUCUCUCCAUCUCUAUCUGUCCAUCUCUAUCUCUCCAUCUGUCAUCUCUCCAUCUCUAUCUCUAUCUCUCCAUCUCUAUCUCCACCUCUAUCUGUCCAACUCUAUCUGUCCAACUCUACCUCUCCAUCUCUAUCUCUCCAUCUCUAUCUCUCCACCUCUAUCUGUCCAUCUCUUCCUGUCCAUCUCUAUCUCUCCAUCUCUAUCUCUCUCUCCACCUCUAUCUUUCCAUCUCUACCUCUCAUCUCUAUCUCUCCAUCUCUAUCUCUCCACCUCUAUCUGUCCAUCUCUACCUCUCCAUCUCUAUCUCUAUCUCUCAUCUCUAUCUGUCCAUCUCUAUCUCUCCAUCUGUCAUCUCUUCAUCUCUAUCUCUAUCUCUCCAUCUCUAUCUCCAUCUCUAUCUCUCCACCUCUAUCUGUCCAUCUCUACCUGUCCAUCUCUAUCUCUCCAUCUGUCCAUCUUUACCUCUCUGUCUCUCCAUCUCUAUCUCUCCACCUCUAUCUGUCCAUCUCUACCUCUCCAUCUCUAUCUCUCCAUCUCUAUCAGUCCAUCUCUACCUCUCCAUCUCUAUCUCUCUAUCUUUCCAUAUCUAUCUGUCCAUCUCUACCUUUCUAUCUCUAUCUCUCCAUCUCUAUCUCUCUAUCUCUCAUCUCUAUCUCUCUGGUGCGAGGCAGUAUAUUUUGCAAGGCUGUUUGCGCGUGUGUGGUGCAGUGCAGGGCGAGGCGGUGUGUGUGUGUGAUGCGAGGUGGUCAUGUAUGGGUAGGUAUUGCAAGGUAGCAGAGAGAGAGAGACGGAUGAUUACAACCUUUGUCUCUGCCUGGCAUAAUCAACCCUGAUUCAGCAUUCACCCCUACUUGAUUUAUGAGACACACUCUCUACCUAUUCUACUGAGCUCUGUCUCUCAAAAUCAAAUAAAAUUGUAUUUGUCACAUGCGCCAAAUACAACUGGUGUAGACAAGCCCCUCCC
rnacentral:lncRNA from 8 species